UACGAAGGGGGCUAGCGUUGCUCGGAAUCACUGGGCGUAAAGCGCACGUAGGCGGAUUGCUAAGUCAGGGGUGAAUCCUGGAGCUCAACUCCAGAACUGCCUUUGAUACUGGCGAUCUCGAGUCCGGGAGAGGUGAGUGGAACUGCGAGUGUAGAGGUGAAAUUCGUAGAUAUUCGCAAGAACACCAGUGGCGAAGGCGGCUCACUGGCCCGGUACUGACGCUGAGGUGCGAAAGCGUGGGGAGCAAACAGG
rnacentral:rRNA from 1 species